rnacentral:rRNA from 1 species
GACGAAGGGCCCAAGCGUUGCGCGGAAUCACUGGGCUUGAAGGGUGCGCAGGCGGACAGGCAAGUGCUUUGUGAAAUCCCACGGCUCAACCGGGGAAUUGCUUGGCAGACUGCCUGUCUCGAGCCCGGCAGGGGUCGUCGGAACUCUAGGUGGAGCGGUGAAAUGCGUAGAUAUCUAGAGGAACGCCAAAGGCGAAGGCAGACGACUGGGCCGGCGCUGACGCUCAGGCACGAAAGCGUGGGGAGCGAACGGU